UUUAUUGUCAUACAAUAUAUUAAGCUCACUGAAAGAUUUUUGUAGGUUUAUUCUUGUAUAUACUAUACACAUCCUCUUUAAAUACCUUGUAAAUUCCUUCCACAAAUCCCUGUUGUCCAUGUUUUUAUAUUGUAAAUAUGACAUAUGUAACUUCUGGGAAAGGGCGUUCCUAAGUUGGAUAACUUGUGU
rnacentral:lncRNA from 1 species